AGGAUAAACGCUGGCGGCGUGCCUAACACAUGCAAGUCGAACGCGCUUUCGGGCUUCGGUGCGAGAGCGAGUGGCGGACGGGUGAGUAACACAUGGGUACCUACCUUGGAGUGAGGGAUACCGGCGAGAAAUCGCCGACAAUACCGCAUAGGCUUCUUCACAAGGGAAGCAAAGUGACGCGAGUCACGCUUUGAGAUGGGCCUGUGGCCGAUUAGCUAGUUGGGGGGGUAACGGCUUCCCAAGGCGACGAUCGGUAGCUGGUCUGAGAGGACGAUCAGCCACACUGGGAUUGAGAACGGCCCAGACUCCUACGGGGGCAGCAGUGAGGAAUUUUCCGCAAUGGAGGCAACUCUGACGGAGCAACGCCGCGUGCAGGAGGAAGGUUUCGGAUCGUAAACUGCUUUUCGUCGGGGACGAGCAAGGACGGUACCCGAGGAAGAACGCCCCGGCUAACUACGCGCCAGCAGCCGC
rnacentral:rRNA from 1 species